UACGGAGGGUGCAAGCGUUAAUCGGAAUUACUGGGCGUAAAGCGUGCGCAGGCGGUUUGUUAAGUCCGCUGUGAAAUCCCCGAGCUCAACUUGGGAAUUGCAGUGGAUACUGGCAAGCUGGAGUAUGGUAGAGGAAGGUGGAAUUCCCGGUGUAGCAGUGAAAUGCGUAGAUAUCGGGAGGAACACCAGUGGCGAAGGCGAUCACCUGGGGUUGUUCUGACGCUGAGGAGCGAAAGCUAGGGGAGCAAACGGG
rnacentral:rRNA from 1 species